rnacentral:rRNA from 1 species
AUUGAACGCUGGCGGCAGGCCUAACACAUGCAAGUCGAACGAGUGGCGGACGGGUGAGUAAUGUCUGGGAAACUGCCCGAUGGAGGGGGAUAACUACUGGAAACGGUAGCUAAUACCGCAUACCAUCGGAUGUGCCCAGAUGGGAUUAGCUUGUAGGUGAGGUAACGGCUCACCUCGGCGACGAUCCCUAGAUGGUCUGAGAGGAUGACCAGACACACGGGAACUGAGACACGGUGUAGACUCCUAGGGUAGGCAGAAGUGGGGAAUAUGGCACAAUGGGCGCAAGCCUGAUGCAGCCAUGGCGAGUGUAUGAAGAAGGCUUUCGUGUUGUAAAGUAAUUUCAGUGGGGAGGCGUUACCAGCAGAAGAAGCACCUGCGAACUCCGUGCCAGCCGCCGCGGUAAUUC